rnacentral:rRNA from 1 species
GACGUAGGGGACGAGCGUUGUCCGGAUUCAUUGGGCGUAAAGCGCACGUAGGCGGAUGUGUCAGUCAGGGGUGAAAUCCCGGAGCUCAACUUCGGAACUGCCUUUGAUACAGCACGUCUUGAGUCCGGAAGAGGUGGGUGGAAUUCCUAGUGUAGAGGUGAAAUUCGUAGAUAUUAGGAAGAACACCGGUGGCGAAGGCGGCCCACUGGUCCGGUACUGACGCUGAGGUGCGAAAGCGUGGGGAGCAAACAGGAUUGAGAAACCCUUAAGUAG